UGUGACAGUCAGACCCCUUGGGCACCC
rnacentral:piRNA from 1 species